rnacentral:rRNA from 1 species
GACGAACGCUGGCGGCGUGCUUAACACAUGCAAGUCGAACGGUAAGGCCCUUCGGGGUACACGAGUGGCGAACGGGUGAGUAACACGUGGGUGAUCUGCCCUGCACUUCGGGAUAAGCCUGGGAAACUGGGCCUAAUACCGGAUAGGACCACUGCCUGCAUGGGUGGUGGUGGAAAGCUUUUGCGGUGUGGGAUGGGCCCGCGGCCUAUCAGCUUGUUGGUGGGGUGAUGGCCUACCAAGGCGACGACGGGUAGCCGGCCUGGGGGGGUGACGGGUCAAACUGGGACUGAGAUACGGCCCAGACUCCUACGGGAGGCAGCAGUGGGGAAUAUUGCACAAUGGGCGCAAGCCUGAUGCAGCGACGCCGCGUGAGGGAUGACGGCCUUCGGGUUGUAAACCUCUUUCAGCUAUGACGAAGCGCAAGUGACGGUAGUAGCAGAAGAAGGACCGGCCAGCUACGUGCCAGCAGCCGCCGUAA